GACGAACCGUCCAAACGUUAUUCGGAAUCACUGGGCUUAAAGGGUGCGUAGGCGGAGAGGCAAGUCAGAGGUGAAAGCCCACGGCUCAACCGUGGAAGUGCCCCUGAAACGGCCUCUCUCGAGGGAGAUAGGGGCGUGCGGAACUCAGAGUGGAGCGGUGAAAUGCGUAGAUAUUCUGAGGAACACCGGUGGCGAAAGCGGCACGCUGGGUCUUUGCUGACGCUGAGGUGCGAAAGCGUGGGGAGCAAACAGG
rnacentral:rRNA from 1 species